GCCUUGUGCUGCGAGUGUCAUUCCAAUUUUGUGCCAUCGGUUUGUGGGGCGCAGUCUGCGUCGUGUAUUAUAGUUUAAGAAUCAAAGGCUGUUGAAGUCCAGGCAGAACAUUCUGUGACAGCUACACAAUCAUGGAGAUUUCUCGGGCAAAGGAUCUUCUUGCCUGCAUUUGGAGGCAGAGUGAAGUCGGCUCGGACAGCUGCCCGCCGGAGCUGCUGGAGCGCGUGCGCCGGCUGACCCAGCAGCUGGCGGCCGGGCCGGCGGGCGCCCCGCCCGAG